ensembl:lncRNA
CUUGCACAUUAUUAACAUAAUCAAUUUACUAAAUUCAGCUUUUAAUUUUACUAAUUCAUUAAGCAUAAUCUGCAUUUUCCAAAGUAUUAAAAGGUUUGUUUAUUUUUUUGUAGCAACUUUGCUUUCAGGACUCAUCAUCUAUAGUAUAAUUAUUAGAAAGAAUGACAACUGCAUUGCUUAAAGCUUUUUUCUAAAUAAACUCUCAAGUCUAAGUAGAAGUUCACCGUUAAAUAUUGGUGACUGUAAAAACCUGACCAUUUUUUGACCUCUCUGCAUUUGGACAUGAAGCCCAUUUCUGUAUUUUGAACUACACAGAAAAAAUACAGAAGACACUCUUAUUAUAAGGCUAGCAGGAAAAUUGAUUUGAGAUAUUGAGCAAAAAGUCUUCAGUCUCUUAGAAAAGAAGUGUUUGGCACCUAGGCCUGCAGACCCUAAUGCAGAUGUAUUAAUUCUCAGCAAGGCUUUAUAGUUGUCCACAAUUUAUGAGCCUGGCCCAUGUGUUGAUCAACAAGGACCCAGUCCUGUAUAUUUUUCCCGGGCAGUCUUUGAUCAUAUGUGAGUGCUUAUGUGAUGAAGGAUUCUUUGCAUAUUGAAAGUAUGCCAGAUUGGACUGUUGGCUACUUAGAUAGCUCAGAGCCUUAUAGAAAGAGUGUACUGAGUUGUGUUUCUUGUUUAUUAAACAAACAAAACAAAAGUCCCCAAGAACUCUGAGCUUCUGUUAACUUAGUAUUGAAAGGAAGCUGUUUGGAUGCAGUAUUUUGGCUUAAAACAUUUUGAAACCAAGUGGCUAAGUUUGGUGUAAUUUAGCUGAUGGAAACUGUAGAGAAGGAAUGAAAAAUCAUUUAAGGGGAUCUUCAGUUCUCACUCAAACAAAACAGUCAAGGUGUAUCUGCAGUGUUUGGUUAUUGAUCGGGAACUCUUGAAAUUUUAGAAUAGAAUAAUCCCCCUGAAGAAGUUUUUAAACAAUCUGGAGGUUACCAGAAGCUCUGAAAGACAGUUCAGAAUAUGUUGCAUCACAUUUUCUGAUGUCCAGAAAUGUGCAAGUGUCAAUUUUGUAUUUUAACUCCUUCCUUUUACCUGACUAUCAGGGAAGCGUGAUUGAGGCUGACCUGACAUGUCAUGAUGUCGACUUGCUAGGUGGGGUUCGCAAGGGACAUUAACCUUGGAGUUAUCGAUGCUGAAGGACAGAGACUGUGAUGAGCACUAUCAGUGUGCAACGUGAACUGAUGGCAGUAAAUGUAAAGCGUGCCAUGGAUUAGCUAAUCUUCCAGAAGAACCCCAGCAUCUGCAUGCCAUGGCAAGUGAUCUGAGGAGCUCCAGGUGGGUGUGCUACAUGUAUAUCGAGUCGUCUCUCUAGACACUGUACUCUAUGAACUGCACGUGCAUUGUAGAAUUGUUUCCUUCCUGGUCCUUUUGUAAUGUCUGGUGUUUUAGUUUUGUUUUUUUUUUUUCCAAAUAAAUAUCUUUUGAAGUCAUUACUUUGUGGGUGUUUUCCAAGGGUCUGAGCGUUCUCUUGUGUUGCUGGUCCUCGCUGAUGUAUUUAUUCUCUUUGGAUCACACGGGGUAAGGGAGCAGAGAAAGUCAUAAUUGCUUCAGUUGGGUGCAAAAUGCAAACCCUUUUUUCUGAAGACUUUCAAGUAUUUUCUUGGAGAGCCCUUAGCAGAGGGAAAAUAAUUCUGAGCAAACCUGAAGAAACUUCUCAUGACACAAAAUCUAUUCUGAAUUUACAUUUGGAAAGCAGUGAUAAAUUAGAGUUCAGCAUCCUGUGAUUUUUAC